ensembl:lncRNA
GCCGCACCUGCAACAUAUGGAGGUUCCCAGGCUGGGAAUCGAAUUGGAGCUACAUCUCCCGGCCUACGCCACAGCCACAGCAACGCCAGAUCUCAGCCGUGUCUCUGACCUACACCACAGCUUAUGGCAACGAUGGAUCCUUAACCCACUGAGGGAGGCCAAGGAUCAAACCCGCAACAUCAUGGCUCCUAGUCAGAUUGUUUCUGCUGUGCCACAACGGGAACUCUGUUUGCUUUUUUUUAAGCAAAUAUUAUAUUUUAGAGACAUUUUAAGUUGAGAGCAUGAUUGAGCAGAAAAUAGAGAUUCCUUGUUUAUACCUCUUGCCAUGACACACACACACACAGCCCCCCACUUGUAUGAAUUGACAUCUGACACCAGAGAAGUACAUUUGUUCCUGGAAUCAUAGAGGAUGUAGCCCUUUCAGAUUGGCUUCUUAAACUUACUGAUCUACGUGGACGUUUCCUGCAUGUCUUCUCGUGGUUUAAUAGCUCAUUUCUUUUCAGUGCUGAAUAAUCCGUAAUUAUAAUAAUAAUCCACCAUCCACAUGCACCAUGCUAUCCAUUCACCUCCUGAAGGACAUCUUGGUGGCAUCAAAGUUUUGGCAGUUAUGAAUACAGAUGUAAACAUCUGUCUCCAGGUCUCUGUGUGGACAUAAUUUCAGCUCAUUUAAGUGACUACCAAGGAGCACAAUUGUGAGGUUAUGUGGUAAGAGUAUGUCUAGUUUUGUAAAAAACUGACAAACCAUCUUGCAAAGUGGCUGUAUCAUUUUUCAUUCCCCAGAGUUCUAUUGUUCCACAUCCUCACCAGCCUUUGGUGUUGUCUGUGUUUUUGAUUUUGACUAUUCUAAUAAGCCAGCAGCUGCAGCUCCAAUUGGACCCCUAGCCUGGGAACUUCCAUGUGCCACAGGUGCAGCUGAAAAAAAAAAUUAAAAAUUAAAAUUAUUGUCCAGCUCAUGGUGAUCACAUCAGUUCACUCCAGGCAUAUUAAAACUUCACUUCCUCUGUCUAUACUCUGUUGUCUAUUAAAGAUGACUUUCCGAGCAUUUGCCAUUUAUACGGUUCAAAUGGCCUUAGGCCUCCUUUCUUGUCAUAUAUUUACAGGCGUGUCUCAGAACUCCUGGAGAGAAGGGGUUAUGACUCAUUUGUUCCAAAAUAGUACUAGUCAUGCCUGCUUCUGCACCUCUCCCUAACAUCCAACCCCAUAACUGUAUUUAUGGAAACAACUGUGAAAAAUCAAAGCUUUGAAGAACCGGACUGUUUUUCUUGUCCUACCCUAAGUGACAGAUGCUCUUCAAAUGCUAAUCUGUAUUACCAAUAAUAAAGGCUCUUAAGGGAAAAUAAACUUGGGAAAUGUUUGGUUGAAAUAAACAUAAAGAAGUUUUCUUAACUUUUCACAGGCUUUCAUGUGCUUUUUCCAAAUUUAUUUAACCAGUUUUCUUCUGAGAUGCCAGAAUUAACAUUCCCUAGCCACUUUCAGAAAUGCAAGUCUAAACCACAGUAGGGAAAUAUCUUUUCCCAAGCUAAGGAAGUUCUUGUUUACAUAUAAUUAUUAUAGUUUUAUAAUAUAGAAUGAUGUCAGCAAAAUGGAGUAGACAGCUCCAAAUAACCAUCCUUUCAAGGAAACAUUAAAAAAAAAAUACCUGAAACUAAGAGAACCAACUGUAUUAAGAAAAUUAAAAACAGAAAGCCUUGUGGCAUUUUUACUUGCCCUUGCCAAACCUCUCUCUCAGCUUGGCAGCAGUCUUGGAGACUUGGUUCCUAGUUCCAGCACAGCAGUGACAAUGCCAGAUCCCUCACCUACUGAGCCACCAGGGAAUUACACAGGUUUGCUUUUUUUCAAUGUGUAAAAAAACUUGGGGCAAAAGAUUAUAGUUGAGACACAGGUUUUUCUCAAAACCUGGGAGGAAAAGCCAGGGAAAUGGUUUCUUGGUGAUGUUAGUGUGUUCAAAAGCAACUGUGUAUACUGGAGAAUUUAGAAAGCCAGGCCAGGAAAUAUGUCAGAAAAGACCUGAGAAGACCCCAAACUUUCAUGACAGGCUGAUAUAUAGGCUUAGUGCAUUUAGCAAGUGAAGGCUGAGGCAGAAUGUAAAUGGUCCAAGUGUUAAAUAAAGAUGUUCCAGCACAGAGCCAAUCCAUAGAAGAUAGGGACAGGUGUUUUUGUUAUUUUCUAAAAAUCCUGGUAUUCAAGGAAAUCUCUGCCAAAACGUUGGCUCAACACAGCUAAGCCUUCAACAAUUCAGAACUGAAAAUUCUGGGGAAGAGGGAAGUUCUGACUUACAGAAUUAUUCUGGAAUGUUCAAAUGUCCAGUUUUCAACAACAACAACAAAAAAUCACAAAGC